AGUGAACGCUGGCGGUAGGCCUAACACAUGCAAGUCGAACGGCAGCACAGUAAGAGCUUGCUCUUACGGGUGGCGAGUGGCGGACGGGUGAGGAAUACAUCGGAAUCUACUUUUUCGUGGGGGAUAACGUAGGGAAACUUACGCUAAUACCGCAUACGGCCUACGGGUGAAAGCAGGGGAUCUUCGGACCUUGCGCGAUUGAAUGAGCCGAUGUCGGAUUAGCUAGUUGGCGGGGUAAAGGCCACCAAGGCGACGAUCCGUAGCUGGUCUGAGAGGCUGAUCAGCCACACUGGAACUGAGACACGGUCCAGACUCCUACGGGAGGCAGCAGUGGGGAAUAUUGGACAAUGGGCGCAAGCCUGAUCCAGCCAUACCGCGUGGGUGAAGAAGGCCUUCGGGUUGUAAAGCCCUUUUGUUGGGAAAGAAAAGCAGCAGGUUAAUACCCCGCUGUUCUGACGGUACCCAAAGAAUAAGCACCGGCUAACUUCGUG
rnacentral:rRNA from 1 species